GACGUAGGUGGCGAACGUUAUCCGGAAUCAUUGGGCGUAAAGCGCGUGUAGGCGGCCCGAUAAGUCCGCUGUGAAAGUCCAGGGCUCAACCCUGGGAUGCCGGUGGAUACUGUCGGGCUCGAGUCCGGAAGAGGCGAGUGGAAUUCCUGGUGUAGCGGUGAAAUGCGCAGAUAUCAGGAGGAACACCAAUGGCGAAGGCAGCUCGCUGGGACGUGACUGACGCUGAGGCACGAAAGCUGGGGGAGCAAACAGG
rnacentral:rRNA from 1 species